rnacentral:lncRNA from 1 species
GGAAUAUUUUAGAAAAAUUUAAAUUCUUAUUUAAUUUAGUGUUUUCUAAUAACAAUCCAAAAUUAAAAAUUUUGGAGUGUUAUACCAUGCCUCUUCUGCAUUGAAUCUUUUUGGAGAGAGAGAAUAACAACACUUGGGACAGUGAGUGAUAAUAUUUUUAGCAAUUUUUAAUGAAUGGUGGUGAAUGGUGUAGUGGAUGUGUGCAAGUGAAUAUCUUAAUUUCACCACAUGAAAAGCUCCUAAGGGUCUACAUAGCUUGAUCAAACUCAAUGUGAAUAUAAGUAGCAAAAGAUGUUAUAGCAAGUAUGGUUGUGGUAGAAAUUUUGUCACGCUAGGAACUCAUCAUGUGAUUUGCAAGUUUUCAA